UUUGUUUUUCUGAUGUAAUCUGGGUUUAUGAAUUAGGAUUAGUUCCCCUUGCCAAGUUGGGUUAGCACUUGGUGAGAACUGAAUCUGUGUAGAUUCCCCUUCCAAGUUGGGAUAGCACUUUGGGGUUGCUAAGCUUUGGUGAAGAAAGCUUAGGGGUAGAUACUAGUUGAAUUAGGGAGUAAUUCAAUAGUAUUGGUGUAUGUAACCUGAGA
rnacentral:lncRNA from 1 species